rnacentral:RNase_P_RNA from 1 species
CGCCGGAAUGCAUGGGAAACCAUGAGCCGGUAAGGGUGAAAUGGUGGGGUAAGAGCCCACCGCGUCUGUGGUGACACAGAUGGCAGGGUAAGCAUCACCUGGAGCAAAACCAAAUAGGGGAACGCUGCCCGCUUUCCUUGAGGGAAACUUCAAGGCAACGGGAGAGAGGUCGGCCCGGCCGAAGUUCUCGGGUAGGUUGCUUGAAGCCCAAGGUAACUUGGGUUCUAGAGAAAUGGUCAUCGCCCGCUUGGAGACAUCCUGGCGGGUACAGAAUCCGGCUUACAGGCUCGCUCGCCAC